CACCUUUUCAAACACACACAAAUUCUCUCAAACACUUUCAUAUCUUCAUCAACCUACCAAGAACACCAUAGAAAAACCCUUCCAUCAUAUUCAUCUUUCUUAUAAACCACAUGGAUUUUCAUGGAAAUUAAGAAGAUCUAAAGUAUUUGCAAGUUAAAUCAAGCCUUUUCAUCCAUCCAAGAGUCUUCUAACAACAAGAUCUUCAUCUUCUUUGGAUCAUAAGCUCUUUUAGAUCAUCCCUAGCCUAGAGCUAGAAGUCGCAAUACUGUUCAGGACUACCGUACGUGAAAUCAUAUUUACUUCUACUCACUGAAGCGAUACUGGAAUUAGUGGACCUUGUCAGGGAUUCUAAUUCGGGAAACAAGUAUUAAGACUCCGUGCCAUCUUUUGAAGGGUUUAUCUAUUAUACUGCCGCUUUGCGGUGAUAUAGUGGACAAAGCCUUAGUGUUUAAAAUUUUCGUUUUGAAUGUAAGAAAUAAUAACAACUUAGUUUCUUUGAAUGGUUUGUCAAUUAUAAACUUAAUGUAUGUUGCGCAUCUUUUGAGCAAUUAUGGUAAUGGCAAUGGAGUAUGUUUUAUUCAUUUAGUAUGUUUACUUAUAUCAUUAUGCAUUGAGA